rnacentral:rRNA from 1 species
CCUACGGGUGGCAGCAGUGAGGAAUAUUGGUCAAUGGGCGCGAGCCUGAACCAGCCAAGUCGCGUGAAGGAAGACGGUCCUAUGGAUUGUAAACUUCUUUUGUCAGGGAGCAAAAGACGCCACGCGUGGCUUUCCGAGAGUACCCGAAGAAAAAGCAUCGGCUAACUCCGGUCCAGCAGCCGCGGGAAUACGGAGGAUGCGAACGUUAUCCGGGUUUAUUGGGUUUAAAGGGUGCGUAGGCGGACCGUUAAGUCAGCGGUAAAAUUGCGGGGUUCAACCCCGUCGAGCCGUUGAAAUUGGCGGUCUUGAGUGGGCGAGAAGUACGCGGAAUGCGCGGUGUAGCGGUGAAAUGCAUAGAUAUCGCGCAGAACUCCGAUUGCGAAGGCAGCAUACCGGCGCCAGACUGACGCUGAGGCACGAAAGCGUGGGGAUCGAACAGGAUUAGAUACCCCUGUAGUC